CUCUGCUGCCCUGCCUGGCUCGGAUGGAAAGGACUGAGGAAGGAGGCCUCCAACCAGAAGGAGAGCUGCUCCCUCAGGGCUGGAGAAUGGGCUUCGGGGCCAUCCUGUCUCCCAGCUGACCUGCGAGACACACUCCCAAGUGGCAACCCGGUCGGAGGCCGCCGCAGGGUCUGUGAGCGCUCCGGCGCCGUCAGCUCCCCGCUGACGGACCUACAGGGCUCUGCUCUGCAGACUGCUCCGUGCCGGCCCCAGCCUCGGAAACUCUCCAAGGAGCUGCCGACGCAGUGAUGAGCCAGCUCGGGCUUGGAACCCAACCGGGCUAUUUUUAAAAGCUGUCUCCCAAAGCGACGCUGUGACACAGAGCAAGCUGCGUGCAGAGGAGACGCGGCCCAGCCUGUGAGGAUCUCCAGACCUCACAUCAGCUGAGGUCGGGAAUACCAAAGGAGGAAGACAGGCUUCUGAGAGGUCAAGAUUUACUGGACUGUAUACAAUUCAAAAAUUUGUACCUAUUCAGGUUUGGGAACAGUAUUAACCUAGGAAUGCUUAAGCAGAAGAAGUGUGGAAAACAAGCCUGAAAAUAUUCCCCUCUGAAGGACGAGAUCUUUGAACUGCUGUGCGAGGUUUGUUUAUUUAUCACGAAGUUAACUACCCAGUGUCUUGCCAUCUGCUCAGUGGAACUCAUCUGGGUCCAGUUCAAAUAUCUCCCUCCUUUCUGCUUCGUCCUCCACUUCCCUUCUUCCCUUCCUUUCUCGUUCCUUUCUUUCCAAAUGGGAAUAUCUGAAUGCACAAGGUGUCACGCUUGGAAAAAUCCACGAUGCAUUCAACCUCAUUUUGUCUCGUACUAGUGCGUACCAGGAAUUUCAGAUGACUCGGACAAGCUGUGGUUGAUUGACGAUUGACUAUGAGAUACACGAUUAGGCCUCAUAGCUUCCAGAGGAUGUGCCCUUCCUUUCUGACAUCAGUGUCACGACUGUGGCCAGAUCGAGAUUCUCCCACGCCGAGCACAGCAUGGGCACCAUUCUCCAGGACUUCACAAAGCCCCUUCCGGCCGGAUUCAUUCUCAGCCCCCGCCAACCUCCGGGCCCUGCUGUGAGAGGGCCCUUCCCUCUCUCCUCAAGCUUGCAUCACGCAUGCUCUGGUGAAGCAUUGGAAGUGCCGGCUUUAGAGGCUGUUCUGUGGCGUCUGUUCUCUGGACAGCACCCUGAGAGUUACUUACCUCCAGUGAAAUCUGCCGGGAGGUAAACAUCUUAAUCCAUUCACAGUCCAUGCCACCAUAUUUCAGCCUCAGCACGGGGCCAAAAAUAAUGGAGCCAGCAGGCCAUGGACCGAAACCUCUGAAAUUGUGCACCAAAACAAAUACUUCUCCUUAUCUCUGCCUCGGUCCCCAAGCAGCACUGGAUGGGAAUCACAUGAGGACACAGCGUCCUGGCUGUGAAUUUGCCUGGCUGUGUCAUCCCCCUUCAGACUGAGGACACCAAGAUAAGAGCAACUAAAGUAAUCUGCAGGGUUUGCAGGGACAUGCAACCACAGCUUUUACAACGAGCAGUUCCAGACUCCCUGGAAUGUCCCCAGCCAUUGUCCUGAUCCCACAGCCACCUUGGAUUCCAGAAAAAGCAGAGCCUCUCCGACUACCCCACGAUGAGGUCACCCUCCAAGUAGGAGCAUUCAGAGCACGGCGAACCAGGGCCGCCCCUCAUCGGAAGCCACCCCAGGAACAGAAGGACCCCUGGGUCUCCCAGGACCUCCCAGCACCAGUCCUGGGCACCCAUGCGCCUGCCCACGGCUUGACCAGAACGGUCUAAACUGACAGUGAUGUAAAUCCCCACCUCUUACCUUGGUUCCCCUUUGCUAGAAAACCCCAAAGCUUUUGCCAGGCCCUCAGAGACAGAUUGUGGUGCCUUCUGCUUGGUUGUACUGAUUCAAGUUCCUUUUCCUGCCCUAAC
ensembl:lncRNA